GUGGGAGAGCAGUGCUAUUGCAAAAAUAGCAAUUAAAUGCGGCGUGCUAAAUACUUGCAAUGAUAGAAUGGCUGAGGAACUGAAGGUUGGACAAUCUACAUAUGUUGACUUUUUAGCAUAUAUGUAUGAGCUAAUUAUAUUGUUGAAAAUGGGUGUUCUGUUGCUUUCAUCGAGCACAGAACCUUUCAGACUCUGUACUUUAUUUGAUUUGCCUGACAGAAAGAAUUACCGACUAUUUGCCAUAGAGUGGUAGUUUGACUAAAUCAUCAUCCUUCAAGCCCACAGUACAAUGCUGAAUUUUAUAUUUCAUCUCUGACCAUGGAAUUUAUAAUGUUUAUCAUAAUGGUAAAACUCAGCCAAGAUUAGUGUGUCACCAUUCUGGGACAUACUUGUGUAGUGUUGUGAAGGAUUGGUUAUGCAAGUUCUUAUCUCUCCGAGCAUUUUGUUCCAAUCUUAAUGUUCUGGCAUUAUGAUAAUAUCAACUUCUGUUUAGUGUUGCAUAUUCCGUCCUUUUUCUUUAGGUAAGGAAAAUUUGGUGCUCUUGUUAUUGAUUUGUGUCAUUUUGAAUGCAGAAUUUAACUGGGGGAACACUACUUUGUAGGAACAAAGAUUAUAUUGUGUUUUAUAGGGGCAAUGACUUCUUGCCUCCUGUGGUGGUAGAAGCACUGAAAGAGAGAAAAACUAACAGAUGUGCAGGCAAAUGAGGACGACCAAGCACGUCAGAGGGCCUCAGCUGCAAUUGAAUGAAAAUUCAAAGCUUCUAAAAGCCCACUUGUUGCUGGCACUCUUACUGAAACUCUGGCUGCCACCUCUCGGUGGGGGAAUGAAAUAAGUAGCAAAGAUGUUGAGCAAAUGCGUUGAGAUGAAUCACUCAAUAAGCAUGCUGCACUCUUGAAAUAUCUUGAGAAGAAACUUGCUCUUGCUAAAGGGAAGGUCAAAAAGGCUGAGAAAGCUCUAGCAAAAGUGCAGGAGAAUCUUAGAUCAGCAGACCUUCCAGUUGAUCUGGAAACCAUAAGUGAUGAGGAGAGAUCUUUACUACGUAAGAUUGGUCUGAGUAUGAAGCCCUUCCUGCUUAUCGAAUGACGACAACCAAAGAGAGACUUCUGCAACAAUGCUCAAAGCAGGACAGGGCGCUCAUUUUGCGAGGAUGCUAUAACUAGAAUCUCUCUUCUGUAUGAUGCACCUCAUCGGAAUGCCUGGUUAUGUGCUUCUGGUUUUUACUGAAGAUGGCUUGAUUACACAUAAAAUCCAUCGUUUGGAGGUAGAUAAUCCACAUGGAAUACAUCACACCUAUUUCGGAAUCCCGUGUUCUUGUACUAUACUUCCAUUUUCUCAAUCGGAAGGCAAUAACAUUGAGCUAUGUACGAGCUUAUGCUGAACUAGAAAGCCCAUGAAGAUAUGGGUUUUAAUUUACAUUACAUGUAUGCACGAGUGACUCAAGAGUUUCUUCCGGAGAUCAGAUGUAAUACAUACUUAUAUUUUGCUCGCUUGGUAGUCCUGAAUAUACAGAAUCAGUA